rnacentral:rRNA from 1 species
AUGAACGCUAGCGACAGGCCUAACACAUGCAAGUCGAGGGGCAGCACAAGGAGCAAUCUGAGGUGGCGACCGGCGCACGGGUGAGUAACACGUAUGCAACCUGCCUGUAAGCGGGGAAUAACCCGUUGAAAGACGGACUAAUACCGCAUAAUACUAAAUUACUGCAUGGUAAUUUAUUUAAACAUUUAUGGCUUACAGAUGGGCAUGCACAUGAUUAGCUAGUUGGAGAGGUAACGGCUCCCCAAGGCAACGAUCAUUAGGGGUUCUGAGAGGAAGGUCCCCCACACUGGUACUGAGACACGGACCAGACUCCUACGGGAGGCAGCAGUGAGGAAUAUUGGUCAAUGGACGAGAGUCUGAACCAGCCAAGUCGCGUGCAGGAAGAAUGUCCCUAUGGAUUGUAAACUGCUUUUGCAGGGGAAUAAAGUGCAUCACGUGUGAUGUUUUGUAUGUACUCUGCGAAUAAGGAUCGGCUAACUCCGUGCCAGCCGCCGC